rnacentral:rRNA from 1 species
UACGAAGGGUGCAAGCGUUCAUCGGAAUUACUGGGCGUAAAGCGUGCGUAGGCGGUUUGUUAAGUCUGCUGUGAAAUCCCCGGGCUCAACCUGGGAAUGGCAGUGGAUACUGGCAAGCUAGAGUGUGAUAGAGGAUGGUGGAAUUCCCGGUGUAGCGGUGAAAUGCGUAGAGAUCGGGAGGAACAUCAGUGGCGAAGGCGGCCAUCUGGAUCAACACUGACGCUGAGGCACGAAAGCGUGGGGAGCAAACAGG